rnacentral:lncRNA from 9 species
AUGAGAAAAUACGAUGUCUUGACUCCUUGCAGAGCUCUCCGUGGUUUCAGCAGAUCCUUAGCAUCUUGGUGGCUCUAUCGGGAGAAAGGUGGGAAUGGUUCUCUGAGGAGCAGGACACACACAAAAGAGGUGAACAAGUUUCAGAUAUCGAAGCCUGUUCUCCUGCUCUUUCUCCAAAGAAGAAUAUACUCUCCACCCCUAUUCUCCACCCAUCCAGUAACUCAACCUAGCCUUCAGGACUCAGUUAUAGUUCACAUACUCUACAAAGACCUCUGUAGAGGUCAGAAUUGCUUUCUCUUCCCUUUGAGUCUCCAUGGCUUGGUGCUUAUGCCCCUAUUUUGUAUUUAUCAUAAUCUAAUGUAUGAUAAUUGCCUAUAUCCCUCUUUUUUCAACAAAAUUAUGAGCUAUUUGUGCACAAAAAUAACAGUUUAUUCAUUUGGUAUCUUGUUGCCUAGCCCAGAACCUUUAGUUAACAAAGAACAGCCAUUAAUUAGUUGAUUUUAAUCAACUGUUCAUCAUUAUUUUAUUAACAAGAUUCGUUAAGCCUAUGGAAUGACAGUUCUGAAAUUAAAUUUGAAUCUCAACUGGACUUAUUCUAUGGCAAUUCCUUUUUAAAAGUGUAUAAGCAGUGUAGGGCUCUUGCAUUAUUUUAAGAGUGCCUCUUUUACCUUCCAAUUAAUUUUUUCCAGCCAACAUUAGCAAGUUGUUUGUAAUUUAGAGAAAAGACACUAGAGGGUCAAGAGAAACAUUCCAAAUGCAAUACUUUACUGUAAGAAAUACUGGCUUAAAUAAAGAGAAGAUAAACAUACUUAACAGACAUCCUGGUGUUUAGACCAGUUGAGGAAAAAUUUAAUCAAGAGGUCAGGAGACAGCUUGAUGACUCAUGAAUAUGUAACAUGAAUUUCAUUAAGUCUAACAACGUUGAAAAAUACUGUCACAAUUGAGGCAUAGCUGUGGAAAUGGUCUACAAUAUCCAAAUGCCAGCUGUCAGAUAGCUCUUCAACCUAUGUGGUCUAUCCGAACAUUAAUUGAGAACAUAAUCGAAUUAAGAAUCCUUGAUGGAGCCACGUAACGUACCUGGCAAAUAAAGUCUUGUGCUUGAUUGAAAGAGCCAUUUUGCCAAGGGAUGAGUUGUUGAAUAUAAACACAUGUAGGAUAGUAUUUUGGAAACUAUGGUGUGGUUGCAAUAACAGCAGCAAAGGAAGAACAAUUACAGACUCUUGAUAUUACCCUAACUCUCCCAAAAGACUUAAUCUGGGAGUCAGGUGAUGGGAAAGGAGCAAGGGGAAGUUGAUUGAUUGAUUUUUUUCACUCACUUGUCAUUGCACUGAAUGUGAUGCAAGUUCAUGACCUUUGUUCCCUUUCCAACUUGCUUUGUGUAGCUGGACAUUCAAUGGUGAUUGAAGUAGGGUGUUUCAUACCAUUUGCAGCUUUCAUGGGUCAUCAUCUUUGAACUGAUUUCCUCUGGCUUUUUAUUUCCUGUAUUUAAAUCGUGACUUCAGAAAUGUCCCUCUCAUCAUACUAAGGAGAUUUCUGAGUCACUGCCUCUUCAAAUUUUUCUUCUGCCUUAUCUUAGACAUCUCCUGUAAACCAAUCUUAGUAAGGUGAAGUGUUUUUUAGCAAGAAUAAUGUGGCUGUAACAGUGUCAGCCCACCCACCAGAGGUUAUUUGUGUGGUCCUCCAGUUAACCCCUUCUUCAUUCACUCUUUUACAUGCUUCCUUCAAAAGUCAGAUGAUUAGUAGAAAAAGAAUCCACCCAGAGGGAGGAGGUCUUGGCGAUGGGUAGGAUAAAUGAGGAGGCAGGGUGAGUGGGGGAGAUAAGUUAGAAAAUGAAGAGGUUAGCACCUCAGUUACAUCUCUGUGUUUUCCUUGUUUGAGGAUUACCUCAAAAAAUAUUUAAAAAAAAAUUUUUAGUGGAGUAUAAUUGACUUACAGUGUUGUGUUUCAGGUGUACUGCAGAAUGAAUCAGUUAUACAUAUACACAUAUCCAUUCAUUUGCAAAUUCUUUCCCCAAAUAGUUUAUUACAGAGUUUUGAGUAGAUUUCCCUGUGCUAUGCAGCAGGUUCUUGUUACUUAUCUAUAUUAUACACAGUAGUGUGUGUUUGUUCAUCCCCAAAUCCUAAUUUAUCCCUCCCCUCAAUGUUCCCUUUUCAAGAAAUUUGAUAUAUUUUUUAGCCCUAUACUUAACAUUGGAUUCCAUCCUUCUAAUAUCCAUGUUUACUGAAACAACAGCAGAUUUUACACAUUCUAUUUAAUAUUAAAUAAAACCAAAGUUCCUUGAGAAAAGUUUCAAAGUGCUUUAUGAUAAAGAAUUGUAAUAACAGAAUAUUGAAAAUAGUGGGGAAAUGCUAAUUAAUAAUCAUCAUCAUAAUAGUAAUAGUAAAGCAGUUUUUCUUUAUACCACUAAGAACAAUUCACUGGUAGACAGUAGGAGUGAGAGGUACCUACUCUUGUCACUGAUGUAUUUCUCAGCAAGUUACUUCCCUGUUGUCUCUUACUGCUUCUAAUUCUGAUGAGGAUGAUUCAUUAAGACCCUCUUGAUUGUGAGGGAUUUCAGGCCAAACUGUAACAUAAGUUAACAUAACGUUAACGUAAGUUAAUGCUGAAAAAAGGCAACUUUUUGGAAGGACCUUGGGCAUCCCAGCUGGGCACCAUGAAGAGAAUCACCACCGAGGACUUGGUUGGAAACAAGGAAUACCUUGAACCACUGUUCUCAGCCCUGCUUCUCUUCACAGAUACGCCACAAUCCUCUAAGCAUAGGUCACCCUAUCUGCUCCCUCAUCUUAAUGGUACAAAUGACUGUUGUUUACAAACCCAGAAUUUCUGUGUGUGUUUGAAUCCUCCUGAAAAAUAAGUAUCCCUCUCUCUUUCUCUGUUCCAGUUACCAUAAUUACCAAGCCAAGGAAAGAGUAAAUGAACUUGUCCAAAUAAGUUCUGAUGUUUCUUAAAUCUUUCCAAGUAGCUAUUUCCCAAGGCACUUAAAAGUAUUUGAACUACAGACUCUCAUUUAUUAAGUUGUGUCCCUGAUUUACAUCCUCUAUACACACUAACAUGCUUCGUACCCCCCGGAACAAAGAAACUACCAAACAGAGUAGUUGGCAUUUUAAUGCCAUUUACCAUCUGAGAGAAGCUAUUUGGGGUCUGUGAACUCUAAGUAUCUUAGAGCCAGAAUGAACUUUGUUUUUUAGAAUAAAUUGAUUAUACGCAUACACACUUUUCAGAUUCUUUCCCCAUAUAGGCUAUCACAUAGUAUUAAAUAAAUUAUUGAAUAGAUUUCCCUGUACUAUACAGUAGGUCCUUGUUACUUAUGAAUUUUGUAUAUAGUAGUAUAUAUAUAUAUGCCAAUCCCAGCCACCCCAUUUAUCUGUCCCCCCAGUAUUUCUCUUUUGGUAACCAUAUGUUUGGUUCUGAAAUCUUUGGGUCUGUUUCUGUUUUGUGAAUACGUUCUUUUGUAUCAUUUUUAUUAGAUUCCACACAUAAGUGAUAUUUGUCUUUCUCUGUCUGACUUACUUCACCAAUAUGAGAAUCUCUAGAAUGGCAUUAUUUCAAUCUUUUUAUGGCUGAGUAGUACUCCAUUGUGUAUAUGUACCAUAUGAGAAAGAACUCUUACGGGACUGUGUUACUACUUAUAUCUUAAGAAAUAGAGAUACGACCUCUUGACAGGAGAUUCUCUCUGCCUUAGAGGGAUAUGACUGUACCUUAGAGGUACUGGAUGAGUUAAGAACCUUUUGACUUUUACGUCACAUUUAGAAUUCCAAAAUUAUUCACUUUAUGCUAAGUAGGUUUGUUUCUCAUAUGUGUCAGACAUGUAACCGUACCAUAAUCACUUUCUCUUAAUUUAAAAUGAAAAUUUGAAAUUAAAUGUUCUUUAGUUAGGAAAAAAAAUGAAGUAAUGCUAGCUGAAAAAAAAAAAAAAACGGUGACUAUGAAUUCUCAUCAUAAAUUCACCUGGGCCUCUUUGAAAUAAGGAUGACAUUAAAGGUGAAAGAAAAUAAUGUGCCCUGCUGAUUUAGUGAUACCAUAAUUUACUUGUUUAUGAAAUUUUUCCUUAGAGAGACUAAAAUUCUCAACCCCCCAAAAUGCAAAAUAUUAUUAGUGCUAAGUAUACCUAUCUCAACAUUUCUCUGGUUGUGGUAGUAAUCUUUUAAAUUAAAAUACCCUUAGGGAAUAAAUCAGUUGGCUUUUAUUUAAUUCCCUCUGUUUAGAACUCUAAAGUAAGGUUUAAUGUUUAAGUUUCUUGUUUAGGGAGGCCCUUUCCAAUGACAGGCAGCCCCAGUUCAAUGUUAAUUCACAGGGCUCCUCUAUGUCCAUUUGCUUCUGUGCUGAGUGUCAGAGCAUCUGGACCCUGAGCGGAAGGUGACCAAAUGCAUAUGAGAUGGAGAACCUGCAGUGUUUUAACUAAUUCUGACUCAAGUAAUGACUUACUGUUUGACAAGGAGAUUCUUGAAAUGUUUCCUCUUUCAUAUACUUACUGAUACUGUUGUAUGUGGUUUCCUCCCUAAGCACUUUGCUGACUUAAUAGGACAACGUCAAGUUCAUACUGAUGCCAUUUCCACCUGAGAUAACUGUACUUAGGGAGAAAAUAGACAGAAAUAGGCAGGAGAAAAAGUCUCUAUUGGUGUUCAGCUGAGGAGUCUCC